rnacentral:rRNA from 1 species
UACGAAGGGGGCUAGCGUUGCUCGGAAUUGCUGGGCGUAAAGGGUGCGUAGGCGGGUCUUUAAGUCAGGGGUGAAAUCCUGGAGCUCAACUCCAGAACUGCCUUUGAUACUGAAGAUCUUGAGUGCGGGAGAGGUGAGUGGAACUGCGAGUGUAGAGGUGAAAUUCGUAGAUAUUCGCAAGAACACCAGUGGCGAAGGCGGCUCACUGGCCCGAUACUGACGCUGAGGCACGAAAGCGUGGGGAGCAAACAGG